AUUGAACGCUGGCGGCAUGCCUAACACAUGCAAGUCGAACGGGAGAAGCGAGUUCGUGCCUGGAGUCAGCGGCGGGCGGGUGAGUAAUUCCUAAGAGUGUACCUGGUAGUGGGGGAUAACGUCCGAAAAGGAGCCCUAAUCCCGAAUACGUUCUGACUGAGAACGGGGGGGAUUGUCGCACCUCACGCUCUCAGCGGCUGCUAGGUCGGAUUAGCUAGUUGGUGGGGUAAAGGCCUACCAAGGCGACGAUCCGUAGCUGGUCUGAGAGGACGAUCAGUCACACUGGAACUGAGACACGGUCCAGACUCCUACGGGAGGCAGCAGUUGGGAAUAUUGGACAAUGGGCGCAAGCCUGAUCCAGCAAUGCCGCGUGUGUGAAGAAGGUCUUCGGAUUGUAAAGCGCUUUUGUUCGGGAGGAAAAGCAGUAAGCUAAUACAUUACUGUCUUGACGUUACCGAAAGAAUAAGCACCGGCUAACUACGUG
rnacentral:rRNA from 1 species